rnacentral:lncRNA from 1 species
AUGUGUAUGUCUAUCCCUGUUCUCUCCCCUCUGCACAGGCCAUACAAACGCUCCACACCGCGUGGCCGCUGCCACUCUAACCUGGUGGUCCCAGCGCGCACGACCCACGUGGAGUUCCAGGUCUCCGGCAGCCUCUGGAACUGCCGGUCUGCGGCCAACAAGGCUGAGUUCAUCUCAGCCUAUGCUACCCUCCAGUCCCUAGACUUCCUGGCGCUGACGGAAACAUGGAUCACCACAGAUAACACUGCUACUCCUACUGCUCUCUCCUCGUCUGCCCACGUGUUCUCGCAUACCCCUAGAGCAUCAAGCCAGCGGGGUGGUGGCACUGGAAUCCUCAUCUCUCCCAAGUGGACAUUCUCUCUUUCUCCCCUGACCCAUCUGUCUAUCUCCUCAUUUGAAUUCCAUGCUGUCACAGUUACCAGCCCUUUCAAGCUUAACAUCCUCAUCAUUUAUCGCCCUCCAGGUUCCCUUGGAGAGUUCAUCAAUGAGCUUGACGCCUUGAUAAGCUCCUUUUCUGAGGAUGGCUCACCUCUCACAGUUCUGGGUGACUUUAACCUCCCCACGUCUACCUUCGACUCAUUCCUCUCUGCCUCCUUCUUUCCACUCCUCUCCUCUUUUGACCUCACCCUCUCACCUUCCCCCCCUACUCACAAGGCAGGCAAUAAGCUUGACCUCAUCUUUACUAGAUGCUGUUCUUCCACUAAUCUCAUUGCAACUCCCCUCCAAGUCUCCGACCACUACCUUGUAUCCUUUUCCCUCUCGCUCUCAUCAAAAACUUCUCACUCUGCCCCUACUCGGAUGGUAUUGCGCCGUCCCAACCUUCGCUCUCUCUCUCCCGCUACUCUCUCCUCUUCCAUCCUAUCAUCUCUUCCCUCUGCUCAAACCUUCUCCAACCUAUCUCCUGAUUCUGCCUCCUCAACCCUCCUCUCCUCCCUCUCUGCAUCCUUUGAUUUUCUCUGUCCCCUAUCCUCCAGGCCGGCUCGGUCCUCCCCUCCUGCUCCGUGGCUCGACGACUCACUGCGAGCUCACAGAACAGGGCUCCGGGCAGCCGAGCGGAAAUGGAGGAAAACUCGCCUCCCUGCGGACCUGGCAUCCUUUCACUCCCUCCUCUCUACAUUUUCCUCUUCUGUCUCUGCUGCUAAAGCCACUUUCUACCACUCUAAAUUCCAAGCAUCUGCCUCUAACCCUAGGAAGCUUUUUGUUACCUUCUCCUCCCUCCUGAAUCCUCCUCCCCCUCCCCCCCCUCCUCCCUCACUGCGGAUGACUUCGUCAACCAUUUUGAAAAGAAGGUUGACGACAUCCGAUCCUCGUUUGCUAAGUCAAGCGACAAAAAAAAAAAAAAAAAUGUCCUUGGCCAGCUCUCCUGCUAUCUCUCUCAGAACGACCUUCUUGAUCCUAAUCAGUCAGGUUUCAAGACUGGGCAUUCAACUGAGACUGCUCUUCUCUGUGUCACGGAGGCUCUCCACACUGCUAAAGCUAACUCUCUCUCCUCUGCUCUCAUCCUUCUAG